AGAGUGAGCGCGUUCCGCCCUCCGCCAUCGCUCCCGGCCGGAUUCUCCCCUCAGACACACAGAGAAGACGCUCGGGAAGUGUCUGCGUGCACCCCUGGAGCGCCGCGCCUGGCGUGGGACAGCUGAAGGGAGGGGAGGGCUGCGGGACCAGGCUGAGGGAGAACAGGUGGCGCGGGGCGGCUGACGUGUAGGUGUGCAGGGCAAGAGGACAGCUGGGUGGGGCGGGGAUCCAGCCUGGCCAGGGUCAGGUGGGAGAAGAGAGGAUGCACCUGAGAAGGGCGGUUCCUUGGGUUCAAAGGGAAAAGGAGCUGCAAGUCCACCGCGUGAGCUCCGGAGGAAGGAGGGCGGUGCUCCAAACUCUCACUUCUCUCCCAAAAGAAAGACAAACGCUGCCCUUGCACCUAUUGGAGAUGUACAUUUGCACCCCUGGGAGAAAAUAAAAAGCCCACAGUAUCGUCAGGAAAGUCACCUCUGCACACUAGUCUCUCUGCUUUUUCAAGGUUGCAAUAUGCUGGGUGCCCCAGGAAAGGCCCCUGAGGACUCCGGUCCCGGGAAUAGCCAGCCAUGGGGCAGUCCCGUUCCUCGAGACUCUAGCAAGUCAGAGAUCCGACCCCGACGCUAAAUAGCAGAUGUCUCGGGGCAACAGGCGAGAAGCCUGUGAUCUACGGUAGCACUCGGGGACAGAAUGUGCACCGCAGCCGCCUGGCUUCCGCAGUUCCAGGUGAGCGGUCCAGCCCGAGCCUGGGCGUGGUCGGGGGCGGGUUCUGUUUUAGCCCCGCCCUUCAGAGGGGGCCCUGCCGCGCCGCUGCGGCUCCGCCUCCCUCCUUCCGUCAUCCGCUCCUUCCGUCGGUGGUUUCUUCCUUCCUGCCUUGUCCCGCACCUUUCGCGACAUGGGGAAGAUCUUCCUUUUCGCCAGCGCCACCUGAGGAUUUCCCGGAGCCGCCCCCCGCGAUGGAGGACGAUCAGGAGCUGGAGAGGUAAGGUUGGAGGCAAAGAGUGGAGUGGGGCGGCGGGUCGGGCCAGAGAAGCGGGUAGCGAAGGGGCACGCGGCCGACUGAGCCCGGCGUGGCGGCUAGGCCUGACCCCAGGCGCUGGGGAAGGGAGGAGAGAGAAUAGAGCGGGCCGGGUUGGGAAGAGGGAGGAGCCGUGGGUUCAUUUAUAACAGAAAAGCCCAGAGGGACGCUAGCCAUCCGGGAUGGGAGAGAGGUAGGGAAUCCAGCUGUAAGUCCCAAACUGCCACCACCCUCAUUAGAACUGCCUCGUGUAAGGUCACGCACCGGGCCAGCCGUCCCGAGUGGCGGUCCUGGCGUGUUAAGUUAGCUAAAGUUACUGCAACUCCGCUCUGUGCAGACUGCUCGUAAAUUCUCUCUGUCCGCCAAAUUCUCCCUCCUAUUAAACUUUUCACUUCCUUUCACUUAGUUUCCUUACCUCUUUCAAACGGAAGCUGUAACUGAGCCUGCCACCCUGAUACCUUGUGGUUGCCAUUUUUAUGCUAAAGUAAUCGUGUUUUUUAUGCCUGUCAACUCCCUUUUCAUCUAAAGCAGGGCCUACCCUAUUAUAACUCUGCCCCUUUCUUUGCUCUAUCCGAAGAUUUUUGCAA
rnacentral:lncRNA from 1 species